rnacentral:rRNA from 1 species
UACGUAGGGGGCUAGCGUUGUCCGGAAUCAUUGGGCGUAAAGCGCGCGUAGGCGGCCAGAUAAGUCCGGUGUGAAAGUCAAAGGCUCAACCUUUGAAUGCCGCUGGAAACUGUCUGGCUUGAGUCCGGAAGGGGCGAGUGGAAUUCCUGGUGUAGCGGUGAAAUGCGUAGAUAUCCGGAGGAACACCGGUGGCGAAGGCGGCUUCCUGGACCGACACUGACGCUGAGGCGCGAAAGCUAGGGGAGCAAACGGG